ACGGGAGGCAGCAGUGGGGAAUAUUGCACAAUGGGGGAAACCCUGAUGCAGCGACGCCGCGUGAGUGAAGAAGUAUUUCGGUAUGUAAAGCUCUAUCAGCAGGAAAGAAAAUGACGGUACCUGACUAAGAAGCCCCGGCUAACUACGUGCCAGCAGCCGCGGUAAUACGUAGGGGGCAAGCGUUAUCCGGAUUUACUGGGUGUAAAGGGAGCGUAGACGGUAAGGCAAGUCUGAAGUGAAAUGCCAGGGCUCAACCCUGGAACUGCUUUGGAAACUGUCCUACUAGAGUGUAGGAGAGGUAAGUGGAAUUCCUAGUGUAGCGGUGAAAUGCGUAGAUAUUAGGAGGAACACCAGUGGCGAAGGCGGCUUACUGGACUGUAACUGACGUUGAGGCUCGAAAGCGUGGGGAGCAAACAGGAUUAGAUACCCUGGUA
rnacentral:rRNA from 1 species